GGGGUGUUAGUAAACUAAUUACAUGGCCCUGUCAAAGCUAAACCAUAGGUGAAACUCCUAUACACCCCU
rnacentral:tRNA from 1 species